CUCUUAGCAGAUUCACUGACACCUUUCUACCUGUUUCACAAGUUCUCAACUGCAGUCCUCCUUUAACUAUUCAGUCUCUCCCCAGUGAAUUGGUCCCUGCUUCUGGCACACAAGACAACUGCCCUGUGACUAUUUUAUCUCCCCAUUUUAAUUCAGCAGUAAUUCAAAAAGUGAAACUAUCAUUCCUGAUCCCUCUACCUCCGUUAUUCUUAAGGUGUUCCCAGUUAAAUUAAAUCCCAGUAUUUCAUAAGCUGAAUUGAUGACCAAGAGCAAGAAGUGAUCAAACUGUUCUGCUAAUCCAAGAGGAUCUUUCAUUAAAGGUUUCGUUUCCCUUUUGAAAUUUCUCACCUCUCCACUCGCAAGUGGGGAGUUUACAUCUCC
ensembl:lncRNA